AGCUCCAGUGGGCAUGUUACUCAGGUCUGGCCAAUCAGUAUGUUCCAUGCCCACAAUGAUUGGUUCAAGAAUGCACAUAUGACACAGCCCUGGACAAUGAGAUUCCAUUUCACGACUUCAUCUGGAACUAUUGUGCAGGCAGAGCUCCAGGCUGUCAAGCACAUGCUGAAUAAUUGACUUGAGAACACUUAUGGAGAGAGCUUUGCAGAAAUGCUGGAGGCUUCACAGAAAGAGAGACUAAGAAAGACUGAGGACUGUUAAGCAUGCCCUAUCCUAUUAUCAAACACUUCACUCCAGGGAGAUUAGGACACAGACGUAUACCGAGGGAAGGCCAAGUAAAAAGGAAGGAGAGGGCCAUCCACAAGCCAAGAAGAGGGGUUCCAAUGAAAUGAACCCUGCUGACGCCUUGUUCUCAGACUUCCAGGCCCCAGAAUUGUGAGAAAAUAAAUUUUUGUUCAUUAAGUUACCCAGUCUCUGGUACUUUGUUAAGUCAGCCCUACCAAACUUAUACAGCAUUGUUAGCUCUUACUAAGUGACUCCAUUUUUAUAAAAAGAUAUCAAACUAAUCUGUAUUGUCUGCCUAGAUACUUGCCUAUUUAAAAAGUGACAUAAACUAGCCCCAUAAUGAGCACCCUUUUAGCUUCGGGCCCACCCACCAUUUAGCAAAAAUCAAGCUGAAACAACCUUUAUGAAGGGAAGUUUGGUUAAAGUGUAUUUGUUUCAU